rnacentral:rRNA from 1 species
CCUACGGGAGGCAGCAGUAGGGAAUAUUGGUCAAUGGGGGAAACCCUGAAGCAGCAAAGUAGCGUGGAGGAUGAAGGUUCUCGGAUUUGUAACCCCUUUUGAUAGAGAAGAUAAUGACGGUAUCUAACGAAUAAUCACUGGCUAACUCCGAUACAGCAGCGGCGGGAAUACGGAGGGUGCAAGCGUUACUCGGAGGCACUGGGCGUAAAGCGCGCGUAGUCGGGAUAGCAAGUCAGAUGUGAAAUCCUAUGGCUUAACCAUAGAAUUGCAAUUGAAACUGUUAUUCUAGAGUAUGGGAGAGGUAGGAGGAAUGCGUGGUGUAGCGGUAAAAUCCGUAGAGAUCACGAAGAAUUCUCAUUGCGAAGGCGACUUACUAGACCAUAACUGACGCUGAUGCGCGAAAGUGUGGGGAGCAAACAGGAUUAGAUACCCUUGUAGUC